rnacentral:rRNA from 1 species
AUACGUAGGGGGCGAGCGUUGUCCGGAAUGAUUGGGCGUAAAGGGCGCGUAGGCGGCGCGGUAAGUCUGGAGUGAAAGUCCCGCAUUCAAUGUGGGAAUUGCUUUGGAUACUGCAGUGCUAGAGUGCGGAAGAGGUAAGUGGAAUUCCCAGUGUAGCGGUGAAAUGCGUAGAGAUUGGGAGGAACACCAGUGGCGAAGGCGACUUACUGGGCCGUAACUGACGCUGAGGCGCGAAAGCGUGGGGAGCGAACAGGAUUAGAUACCCUGGUAGUCCACGCGGUAAACGAUGAAUGCUAGGUGUUGCGGGUAUCGACCCCUGCAGUGCUGGAGUAAACACAAUAAGCAUUCCGCCUGGGGAGUACGGCCGCAAGGUUGAAACUCAAAUGAAUUGACGGGG